rnacentral:rRNA from 1 species
UGGCGGACGGGUGAGUAAUGUCUGGGAAACUGCCUGAUGGAGGGGGAUAACUACUGGAAACGGUAGCUAAUACCGCAUAACGUCGCAAGACCAAAGAGGGGGACCUUAGGGCCUCUUGCCAUCGGAUGUGCCCAGAUGGGAUUAGCUAGUAGGUGGGGUAAAGGCUCACCUAGGCGACGAUCCCUAGCUGGUCUGAGAGGAUGACCAGCCACACUGGAACUGAGACACGGUCCGG